GAGGGUAUAGCUCAAGUGGUAGAGCACAUGCUUGGUGUGUAUGAAGUCCUAGGUUCAAUCCCCAGUACCUCCA
rnacentral:tRNA from 1 species